UAAUAGUGUAUAUUAAAGUUGUUGCAGUUAAAAAGCUCGUGGUUGAAUGUUGGUGUCGAACGAGCGGUCAGCUUCGGCUGUACUGCUCUCUCGACUCCUUCCUUCUGUGGACUACGUCGCACUUUACUGUGUGGCGCUAGGACGCAGAUCGUUUACUGUGAAAAAAUUAGAGUGUUCAAAGCAGGCCGUACGCUUGAAUACAUUAGCAUGGAAUAAUGGAAUAGGACGUCGGGCCUAUUUUGUUGGUUCUAGGACCGUCGUAAUGAUUAAUAGGGACAGUUGGGGCCGUUUAUAUUCCGUAGUCAGAGGUGAAAUUCUUGGAUUUACGGAAGAUAAACUACUGCGAAAGCAUUCGGCAAGGAUGUUUUCGUUAA
rnacentral:rRNA from 1 species